UACAGAGGUCUCAAGCGUUGUUCGGAUUCAUUGGGCGUAAAGGGUGCGUAGGUGGCGCCAUAAGUCGGGUGUGAAAUUUCGGAGCUUAACUCCGAAACUGCAUUCGAUACUGCCGUGCUUGAGGACUGGAGAGGAGACUGGAAUUUACGGUGUAGCGGUGAAAUGCGUAGAUAUCGUAAGGAAGACCAGUGGCGAAGGCGGGUCUCUGGACAGUUCCUGACGCUGAGGCACGAAGGCCAGGGGAGCAAACCGG
rnacentral:rRNA from 1 species